AACGAACGCUGGCGGCAGGCUUAACACAUGCAAGUCGAACGCAUCCUUCGGGGUGAGUGGCAGACGGGUGAGUAACGCGUGGGAACGUGCCCUUCAGUUCGGGAUAACCCAGGGAAACUUGGGCUAAUACCGGAUACGUGCGAGAGCAGAAAGAUUUAUCGCUGAAGGAUCGGCCCGCGUCUGAUUAGCUAGUUGGUGGGGUAAUGGCCCACCAAGGCGACGAUCAGUAGCUGGUCUGAGAGGAUGAUCAGCCACAUUGGGACUGAGACACGGCCCAAACUCCUACGGGAGGCAGCAGUGGGGAAUAUUGGACAAUGGGCGCAAGCCUGAUCCAGCCAUGCCGCGUGAGUGAUGAAGGCCUUAGGGUUGUAAAGCUCUUUCAGUACCGACGAAGCGCCAAUAACGGUGGUGACGGUAGGUACAGAAGAAGGACCGGCCAACUACGUGCCAGCAGCCGCAGUAAAAC
rnacentral:rRNA from 1 species